rnacentral:rRNA from 1 species
GGUCGAAAGAGGAAAUUCAUUCGCGUUUCGACUGUCGAAGUUGGAUGUUUGUAUGACGGAUAGCGUUUCGGCGUCGUCCGCUUCUUAUAUUCUUCGUGUCGAUGUCGAACGCGUGCACUUUUCCUCUAGUAGGACGUCGCGAUCCGUUGGGUGUCUGUCUAAGACUCGAGGUGGAGCCCGCGUAAUUUUUAAUUAUGCGGACCCUUGGUGUUCCGACAGACUCACUCGACGGUAUACUAAUGGCGCGGGGCCGCUACUUUAGUUAGCGUUCGGCCCGUAGCAAGCACGUUCUGUGUUUGACGGCGAUCGGACCUGGUGCCGAUUCUGUCCCAGAACGACUGUUGGUUACGGUGUUCUCGAACAGACCUCGU